UGAGGUUUCCUAGGCCAACAACUUCAACCAUAAAUGACCGGCCAUCAACUUCUUCACAAAUGCUUAAUGAAUCAUCGUUGAUCGAUUGUCAAGAAAUGGAACAAAUAAUCAAACACCAAAUAUUUGAUAAUAUAACUUUAAAUCAGAUUUGUAAGGUUAGUAAGUUGCAAUCACUUUAAGAGUUUUUACAAUUUUGAGGU